rnacentral:rRNA from 1 species
UACGUAGGUGGCAAGCGUUUGUCCGGAUUUAUUGGGCGUAAAGAGCUCGUAGGCGGCUCGGUAAGUCAGGUGUGAAACCCCCGGCUCAACUCGGGACGCCACCUGAUACUGCCAUGGCUAGAGUCCGUAGGGGAGCGCGGAAUUCCUGGUGUAGCGGUGAAAUGACGCAGAUAUCAGGAGGAACACCAGCGGCGAAGGCGGCGCUCUGGGCCGGAAACUGACGCUGGAGGAGCGAAAGGCGUGGGGAGCAAACAGG